GUUCUGACGUGCAAUCGAUCGUCAAAGUUGGGUAUUAGGGGGCGAAAAGAACUUAAUUCGAACCCAUUAACAGAAGGUAUACGUAUAUAUUAUAUACUACUUAUUCUAAUUUUGUUAAGUUCCUGCUUUGCAGCUAUAGGUAUAUCUAAGACGUUUCAGCUUCAUACAACCUAGUAUUGAGCUGUUCAUCUAUGGUAUCUCCCAGUAGAAUGUGGACAUGGGUAUUCGGCUAUAAUUCUUUCUUUGUAUGUUAAGAGUGUUACUCCCCAAACAGCCUAUCCGACUGCAAUUUGUUUUGUGGUUGGAGGCCAUAGAUAGAUGUGCUGGAUUACAACAUCCCUUAGCACCGCAAAGGUGGUCAAUAGAAGCGCCUUUCCCUAAGUUAUUGGGUAAAGCGUUUUCAGUUGUUGUUGCGUAAGCAACAUGAUGAGUCCACAGUUUCAGCUGAAGUGUUUUUGUUAAACGCGGUUGCCAUCUCUGGUGACCAUUAGCUUCAGCUUUUAUGUGGACAAGUCUUUGACAACUGAUUCUAGAUUUCCACCAUUCUCCAGAUCUCUCUGGGUUGCGGUUGUUCUGGAGUUGUGUAAUUUUGGUUGGAUCUAUUCCUUUCAAAGAGCCCUCAGGAACUAAUGAGUAUCUCUUCUCGAUCAUUCUAAGGUAUAAAGACUUUCGUCUACUUGGGGUAAGUGAGUUGAGGUAUUCGGACAUUUUGGUAUCUGUAGUGUUUGGUAUAGCUACUAGGUGGUUAAGAGGCGCUCCGCGUCUAGUCCAUUGAAUCUAUGGGCAAGAUCAUCAAAUUGCUGGAACACCCUAAAGACAACAGUACUAACCCGGCCUGGAAACGAGCCGGGGCACAGUGACAAUCUGUUUGUAUGAAGUCGCAAGACGGAAAUGGGCAAUCAGCAGCCAAGUCCUAAGCUUGUGUACAAGUAUGGAUGCAGUUCAGAGACUAGAUGGUGAUCGGUCUUAAUAAAGUUAAGGCUUAAGAUAUAGUCCAGCCCUGCUGAAAGGCAGGCUUGAAGCAAAGCCAGGCGCUGUAGAUUCAGCACAGCGGUUGGCCCGAACUUCGAGGAGUCGUUUGUGACGA
rnacentral:rRNA from 1 species